rnacentral:lncRNA from 1 species
AUGGCAGAUUCUUCUGCAACAUACAUACACUUGGUAACUGAGAUACCAAAGAACUCGAGUCUCUUAUUAUUGUUUGGUUAGUUACAUAAUAUUCAUCAUUUUCUUGAUGGAUCGAGAUAUAUAUGUAAUUUAUGUUCAUUUAUGUUUUUGUUUUUAUUUUUUUUAUGAUGUUUAUGCUUAAUAAUGAAUGUGUGUGAUUUUGGUGACCAACCUGAAAUAGGUGCACCACCUGAUAGAAACGUGCCUGAUCUUCCACAUGACUAAAGAGGAGUGCAUGGAAGCCCUAUCUAAACAUGCAAACAUCAAACUGUCAUUACCUCCACUGGUUAGUUCUUCUCUUCAACUCUCUCUUCUUAAAGCCCUUUGCUGUUCGAGCGCAGGCGAGCGCUCGUGCGCGCACAUAUAUAUAUAUAUACACAUGCAAGCAAUGAAUGCAAGCAAUGUUUGAGGUUCAUAUCUAUCUAUAUGAUAAUAUUAAUGUUACUUCGAAUUUAGAACAGUAGCUUAGUCAUGAUCUGGAGUGAUUUUGGUGCAGUAUGGAAUGAGUUAGCUAAAGAGAACAAGGAAUUCUUCGAGGCUUAUGCACAAUCAACAAACAAACAAGAUGCAAUGUCUGAGGAAGAGACAAGCCAACUGAUCCGAAGCACGAUACAGGAGUCCUCCAAGCAUU